GAUGAACGCUGGCGGCGUGCCUAAUACAUGCAAGUCGAGCGAACGGACGAGAAGCUUGCUUCUCUGAUGUUAGCGGCGGACGGGUGAGUCACACGUGGAUAACCUACCUAUAAGACUGGGAUAACUUCGGGAAACCGGAGCUAAUACCGGAUAAUAUUUUGAACCGCAUUGUUCAAAAGUGAAAGACGGUCUUGCUGUCACUUAUAGAUGGAUCCGCGCUGCAUUAGCUAGUUGGUAAGGUAACGGCUUACCAAGGCAACGAUGCAUAGCCGACCUGAGAGGGUGAUCGGCCACACUGGAACUGAGAAACGGUACAGACUCCUACGGGAGGCAGCAGUAGGGAAUCUUCCGCAAUGGGCGAAAGCCUGACAGAGCAACGCCGCGGGAGUGAUGAAGGUCUUCGGAUCGUAAAACGCUGUUAUUAGGGAAGAACAUAUGUGUAAGUAACUGUGCACAUCUUGACGGUACCUAAUCAGAAAGCCACGGCUAACUACGUG
rnacentral:rRNA from 1 species